UUAAUUGAAACCAAAAAGAGGUAAAUUAUUGUUAAUAAUUAAAUUGAAUUUAAAUUAAAUUCCAAUUAAA
rnacentral:tRNA from 1 species